CAAAAUGGAUCCGUAACUUCGGGA
rnacentral:ncRNA from 3 species